rnacentral:rRNA from 1 species
AUUGAACGCUGGCGGCAGGCCUAACACAUGCAAGUCGAGCGGUUGAAGGGAGCUUGCUGCUUGUUUCAUCGCCGGACGCGUACGUAAUGCUUAUGACUCUGCCUGUUCCUGGUGGAUAACGUUCGCAAAUGGGCGCUAUUACUACUUACGUCUUGAGUCACAAAAUGGAGGAUCUUCGGCUUUCGCGCUCUCACCUUAGCCUAGGUCGGAUUAGCUAGUGGGUGGGGUAAAGGCCUACCCAGGCGACGAUCCGUAACUGGUCUGAGAGGAUGAUCAGUCACACUGGAACUGAGACACGGUCCAGACUCCUACGGGAGGCAGCAGUGGGGAAUAUUGGACAAUGGGCGAAAGCCUGAUCCAGCCAUGCCGCGUGUAUGAAGAAGGUCUUCGGAUUGUAAAGCACUUUAAGUUGGGAGGAAGGGAAGUAAGUUAAUACCUUGCUGUAUUGACGUUACCAACAGAAGAAGCACCGGCUAACUUCGUG